rnacentral:rRNA from 1 species
AUUGAACGCUGGCGGCAUGCUUUACACAUGCAAGUCGAACGGUAACAGGCCUUCGGGUGCUGACGAGUGGCGAACGGGUGAGUAAUGCAUCGGAACGUACCCAGAGGUGGGGGAUAACGCAGCGAAAGCUGUGCUAAUACCGCAUGUGAUCUGAGGAUGAAAGCGGGGGACCGAGCAGCAAUGUUUGGCCUCGCGCCUUUGGAGCGGCCGAUGUCGGAUUAGCUAGUUGGUGGGGUAAAGGCCUACCAAGGGGACGAUCCGUAGCUGGUCUGAGAGGACGACCGGCCAAGUGGGGACUGAGAAACGGCCCCGGCCCCAAGGGGGGGCAGCGGGGGGGAAUUUUGGAAAAGGGGGCGAAGCCUGACCCAGAAAGGCGGGGGGGGGGAAGAAGGCCUUCGGGUUGUAAACCGCUUUUGGCAGGAACGAAACGGUGCCCGCUAAAACCGGGCGCUAAGGGCGGUACCGGAAGAAUAAGCACCGGCUAACUACGU